GAAGAACAGAAGUGAAUCUCGGUGACCUUUACCUUUUUUUCCAUUUAUUGAAGUUUGAGAGAUACGUAUCACUAGGGGUGAACACUCUGUUCUCUGAGCAGUUUAAAACUAUUUAUAAGCGUCCAACAAGACGUUUUUUUUUUUACACGAUUCAAGUGCGUUGACCCAUCCGUCGGCCAUCUUGCGCUGGUGUCCGCAUACGUUAAUUCGAUCGCUCGUCCUGGCCCGCCAUUCGUUGGCAGCUAAACGGAGUGCGAGGGACCGCUGGCCUUCCUGCGUACGGUUUACGUAUGAUCGGGUAGCGUACCAGCACCGCCGACAGCCCCCUCUCCGCAUCUAUAGAUCGGCCGUAAAGGACUUGAGCCCGGGCCGCCGCCGUUACGUUCCGGUCGGUAGGCACUACGCUCCGUGCCACUGUGAAUGCCCAGAACAUCGCAUGCCAUCCUAGCCCCCGGUUGACGAACCGCUGGUAGCACCGAGAGCGUAACCCAAACCUUGCGCAGGUUAGUCUACACCCAUGGCCAUGAUUACACACAUACAACAUUGACACAUACA